rnacentral:rRNA from 1 species
UACGGAGGUGGCAAGCGUUGUUCGGAAUUACUGGGCGUAAAGGGCGCGUAGGCGGCUAGGCAAGUCAGAUGUGAAAGCCCCGGGCUUAACUCGGGAAUUGCAUCUGAAACUGCUGGGCUUGAGUUCUGGAGGGGGUAGUGGAAUUCCCAGUGUAGCGGUGAAAUGCGUAGAUAUUGGGAGGAACACCUGCGGCGAAGGCGGCUACCUGGACAGAAACUGACGCUGAGGCGCGAAAGCUAGGGGAGCGAACGGGG